GAAAAGAAUGAAGCUAUCCACACACAUAUCUGAAUUAUUAACAAUACCGCUUUUGCUUCCUUAAAGAACAAAUGGGCGCCGAACACUGGACCGGGCCUACAGCUUUCCAACCUUCUUUUUACCUUGCACGCCUUUCUCUUAUUAGAUGAAAUUGUCUUAUAUGAAAUGUUUGAUAUGAAAUUAUCGUAUUAUAUGAUCUUCUCGGACCCUUUUUGCCAAAUCGGUGUCAAUAUCUAUAGUAUGAGGUUCAACCAUUUGCUGAGCUAGUUCUAUUCCUCUCUCCGCUGUUUCGCCUCCCGCUUGCUCUAGGAUCUCAGGCCCUAAGCUAGAGCCGGCAUGCGAGAAGCAUGUUUCCCGCACCCUAUGAGUGGUAACUUGCUCGACCCCCUGCUUCGAGAGCUGACACCUCUCAAUUCCCAGUCUACCCUUUUUCUCAACAGGAGCACCCUUAACUCCUCUUUCAGGAGCUUCGAAGUCCUCGGCUCGGGGAUGUUGCUUUUCUAAUCCCAGCUCUUGCAAACGUACUUGUACUGGGAUAUGAGAAAGGCCUUAUUUACUUUACACCACCUACAAGCUUCGGAAGGUCGAGAUUUAAGGAAGUGUCAAAGAUGUCGCCAUCUUCGGGGACAAGAACAAGCUCAAUAAAAGCUUCCUUUCGAGGAACAAGCUCAAUAAAAGCUUCCUUUCGAGGUUUCUUCUUUCUUUUGUCUUUUGAAAAUACCUAUAGGUUGAAGUUCACUCUAUAUCACUAAUGAUUCUAAGGGCAUUUAUUUGCCA